rnacentral:rRNA from 1 species
UGAAUACGAGACGCUAAGGCGUCGAAGUAGUGUAUGUCAUACUUCCAAGAAAAGCUUGCACUGUCAUAGAUAAAAAACGCCUGUACCAUAACCGACACAGGUGGGUAGGUAGAGUAUACUAAGGGGCGCGAGAUAACUCUCUCUAAGGAACUCGGCAAAAUAACUCCGUAACUUCGGGAGAAGGAGUGCCUUAUUCGUAAGGUUGCAAUAACAAGAUCCAAGCAACUGUUUAUCAAAAACACAGGUCUCCGCUAAGUCGUAAGACGAUGUAUGGGGGCUGACGCCUGCCCAGUGCCAGAAGGUUAAAGAAGUUGGUUAGCAAUUGCGAAGCUGAUAACUGAAGCCCUGGUGAACGGCGGCCGUAACUAUAACGGUCCUAAGGUAGCGAAAUUCCUUGUCGGGUAAGUUCCGACCCGCACGAAAGGCGUAAUGAUUUGGAUACUGUCUCGGAGAGGGGCUCGGUGAAAUAGACUUGCCUGUGAAGAUGCGGACUACCUGCACCAGGACAGAAAGACCCUAUGAAGCUUUACUGUAACUUGAAAUUGAAAUUGGACUUUAUUCGCGCAGUAUAGGUGGGAGGCGUUGAUUAUAAUCUUGUGGGAUUAUUGGAGCCAUCAGUGAGAUACCACUCUUGUAAUGUUAGAUUUCUAACUUUGAAUCAUUAUCUGGUCAAAGAACAGUUUCAGGCGGGCAGUUUGACUGGGGCGGUCGCCUCCUAAACGGUAACGGAGGCGUACAAAGGUUUCCUCUGAACGGUUAGAAAUCGUAUCUAGAGUGUAAAGGCAUAAGGAAGCUUGACUGUGAGACCUACAAGUCGAGCAGGGACGAAAGUCGGUCUUAGUGAUCUGACGGUACUGAGUGGAAAGGCUGUCACUCAACGGAUAAAAGUUACUCUAAGGAUAACAGGCUGAUCUCCCCCAAGAGUUCACAUCGACGGGGAGGUUUGGCACCUCGAUGUCGGCUCAUCGCAUCCUGGGGCGGUAGUACGUCCCAAGGGUUGGGCUGUUCGCCCAUGAAAGCGGUACGCGAGCUGGGUUCAGAACGUCGUGAGACAGUUCGGUCCAUAUCCGGUGUAGGCGUUAGAAUAUUGAGAGGAGCCUUCUUUAGUACGAGAGGACCGAGAAGGACAUACCUCUGGUGUGCCAGUUAUCGUGCCAACGGUAAACGCUGGGUAGCUAUGUAUGGAGUGGAUAACCGCUGAAAGCAUCUAAGUGGGAAGCCCACCUCGAGAUAAGUAUUCUCAUC